GACGAACGCUGGCGGCGUGCUUAACACAUGCAAGUCGAACGGUGAAGGCGGAGCUUGCUCCGCUGGAUCAGUGGCGAACGGGUGAGUAACACGUGGGCAACCUGCCCCUCACUUCGGGAUAACUCCGGGAAACCGGGGCUAAUACCGGAUAUGACCUCCUUGGGCAUCCUUGGAGGUGGAAAGUUUUUCGGUGAGGGAUGGGCCCGCGGCCUAUCAGCUUGUUGGUGAGGUAGUGGCUCACCAAGGCGACGACGGGUAGCCGGCCUGAGAGGGUGACCGGCCACACUGGGACUGAGACACGGCCCAGACUCCUACGGGAGGCAGCAGUGGGGAAUAUUGCACAACGGGCGCAAGCCUGAUGCAGCAACGCCGCGUGAGGGAUGACGGCCUUCGGGUUGUAAACCUCUUUUAGUAGGGAAGAAGCGAAAGUGACGGUACCUGCAGAAAAAGCACCGGCUAACUACGUGCCAGCAGCCGCAGUAA
rnacentral:rRNA from 1 species